rnacentral:rRNA from 1 species
AGUGAACGCUGGCGGCAGGCCUAACACAUGCAAGUCGAACGGCAGCAGGUCCUUCGGGAUGCCGGCGAGUGGCGGACGGGUGAGGAAUACAUGGGAAUCUGCCCAGUCGUGGGGGAUAACGUAGGGAAACUUACGCUAAUACCUCAUGCGACCGUAGGGUGAAAGAGGAGGACCGCAAGGCGUCGCGCGACGGGAUGAGCCAAUGUCGGAUUAGCUAGGUGGCGGGGUAAAGGCCCACCAAGGCGACGAUCCGUAGCUGGGCUGAGAGGAUGAUCAGCCACACUGGAACUGAGACACGGUCCAGACUCCUACGGGAGGCAGCAGUGGGGAAUAUCGGACAAUGGGCGCGAGCCUGAUCCAGCUAUGCCGCGUGAGUGAAGAAGGCCUUCGGGUUGUAAAGCUCUUUUGUCCGGAAAGAAAAGCUCUCGGUUAAUACCCGGGGGUUCUGACGGUACCGGAAGAAUAAGCACCGGCUAUCUCCGUGCCAGCAGCCGCAGUAACAC